UGCGCUUUCACGGCCGGUUUGAUUUAUUUAUUAAAUUUUAUUUCCGAAUUAAAUAAUAAUUUGUUUUUAUUUUCAAUUUAAUUCGAAGCGCGAAUCACUUUAAGUUUAAAUUUAAACAAAUUUAAAUGAAAACGAACUUGAAUGCACUUUCACGGCCGGUUUAAUUUAUUUAUUAAAUUUUAUUCUGAAUUUAAAUUAAAUUUAUUCGAGUAUUUGAAACAAUUUGAUUGUAAUCAUGGACGACCGGUUUACCGCAAGCAAUUAAAAUUUAAUUCAGAAUUAUUUUAAUUUGUUUCGUUCGUAAUUAAAGACAGGUUUACAGCAAACGAUUUAAAUUUUAAUUCAAAGUUAAAGAAUAAUUUAAACAAAUUAGAAUUUGUAGAUAUAUAAUUAAUUCGUUUUAAUCUUUUGGCUGUUUUUGUAGCAUCAUUGGCUUGAUUUAAUUACUUUUAUAAAUUUUCACUCUCAUUUUGAGGCGUUCUGUACCAAUAAACUAUUUUCAAAAGACUCUGAUGCUACAUAAACAUCAGUAUCAUCUUAAUAGAGGUGUGCUUAACGAUUUGAAUUUAUUUAAUGCAAUUAUUUUUUAUUUUUCUUUUAAAUUUUACGUAUUGAUAAACACAUCUUUAAUAAAAAAGGAAAGUAUGUCGUACUUUGGAGUAGGUUUCAAGUUCACAUGUUCUGAUAUAACUUUUUUUCCACCACUACUGAAAGUAGCCAACAAAAUUCUCUAAAUUUUUACCGCGUUUUUUCUUUCUUUCUUUCUUUGUUUCUCCGUUAUAUUAUCGCUUCAAAUGGGAAUAGAUAUAACCGCUAAUGAUGACUGCAGUCAAUUCACUUUCAAAUCAAUCAAGAAAAAGCUAUGAAUGCAGUUAGCUAUGAGAUAUUCUCUCACUCCAAGUAAUUUUUUGCUUGCGUCAUCAUCGCCUACUGGGCCAACCGGGGAUUUUGAAUUAAUUCACAUUGUGGCAUCGAAAACAAAUGGUCUCGUAGCAUGGUGCUGAACCAUUGGGAAAAGGAAACUAUCUGAUGAUUAUAAUAGAAGACGUAAGUGAACGUCGCUCCAACUCAUGGCAUGUUGGGGGAAAAGUGGAGGAAAUAAUAAAAAAAAUUGGAUUCGAUGGAAUUGACUGAUCUAAUUAUGAUUUCUUAAAAGUGGGUUAGUAUGAUUCUCUUGAAUAAGUGGGCACUGAUUAUUUUCCUAUGACUAAAUUGUAUCAAAAUUAAUCAAAAAAAAAAAAAAAAAAAUAGCAAACCCCUAGAUUUGUUAAUGUAUCAAUGGUGUACUAAGCUCGUAGUAAAAUCGAAUAAAGACUCGAUCUCAUUAAUUUGAGUGUGUUAGUCGUGCUGAUGCUCCUCGAUAGACACAUACCUAUAAACGGUAUUAGUUGUCGUGCAAAUACAUAUCUUAGAUAUGUAGAGGAGAUGCUGCGAGCAUAAAAUAGUACACUAAAUACAGGCAUUCUCUAGGAUGGCUUUGCAUUCAUUAAAAAAAAAAUUCACAAAAAUACAUAAACAAUACAAAAAAAAAAUAAAAAAUUAAAAAAAUAAAAAAAAUUAAAAAAAUAAAAAAAAAUAAAAGAAAUUAAAAAAAAUAAAAAUGGUCGCAAAAGGAAAUUAAUCAUUGCCUGUUUAUUUAAGAGAAUUGCUUAGGUAGCCCAAGGAUCAUAAUUAGAUCAGUCAAUUUCAUCGCGUCCGCCUCUGCUUUUUUCCUGUUUGCCAUGAGUUUGAGUGGCGUUCCCGUCUUUUAUUAUAAUCAUCACACUGUUUCCUUUUCCUGGUGGUGUCUGCACUGUGCCACGAGACCAUUUCUUUUCGAUGGUACAGUGUGGGUCAAUUUAAAAUCACCAACUGGCCCAUUUAGCCGAUUAUGGCACCAGCAAGAAUUAUUUGGACUGAGAAUAAAAUAUUUUAUGGAUAAUGCGCGUUUAUAGUUUUUUCUUUUUGUUUUUUUAACGGUGUCACAUUAUCACAGUCAUCAAUUGCUUUCUCAUUUAUUUCCAAUUUAAGCGAUUUUUUGUCAAUAUUUUUUUCUUAAUUUAAUGAAUUUGGUGGCUGAUUUCGGUAGCGGAUUUUAUUUAAUGUAAAGCUCGAGUCUUGUUAUAAGUACAUACUUUCCUUUAUCUGGUAGGUAAAUUUAUAUUAAUUCUAACUUUUUUUAUAAUAUAAUAAAGGUCGGUUUACAUUAACCCAAUUGCAGUCAAACUGCUGAUCACGUGAUUAAAUUGAUUGGUAUCCUAAUUGCGAAUUAACUUCUAUUCAGUCUUUUUUAAACCGGCCUUUAGUAUAUUAUUUUUUUUUAUUAACCGAGGUUUUGGGUUUGUAAUUUUGGGUACAGAAAAUAUUUUUGUUUUAUUUUGUAACAUUAAUCUUAGAUUCGGUUUAUUUGUUUUUUCAUUUUUGGUGUGUGUACAAUUUUAACCAUCAUAGGGGGAUUUUUAAAAUAUAUCAAAUUUUUUUAUGUACAUUGCAAAUAGUCUCAAUCCCUCAAUCCUAGAGCAGCUUUUACAAUUCUCGUAUAAAUUUCGGUUAAGUCUGUUAAUCGUGGUAUCGUGUAAUAUCAAUAAUUGUUACAAUUAUUAUUUUUUCAAAAAUAAAUAAAUUUAUUCGAUGAUUGUAAAUACAGCUCUUACUAUUUUUAUUUAUAUUAAUCAUAAAUAAUUUCUUUGUUUUUUAUUUUUUUAUCACAUAUUUUGCUUCCACCUCCAAGGGUCGUACUGUUGCUCGCCCAACACGAAUGCAAAGAUUGCAUUAAACAGUCGUCAAAUGUGCUAACCAUUGCAAUCUCCGCUUGGAGUUAAGAAUUUUGAGAGCUCAAAAGCUGGGAUUGCUUUACGGACUGGUUGCGACCGGCCAGCGGGAUUCGGAAGACUUCAAAGACGUUCUUCGUCUGGUUCUUCAGAAAUUAUUUUUUUUAACUUACAAUAAUUAUUAUUGAACGUUGUUAUAAAUUUGUGUGAUUGAUUAUGUUUUAUGAAUAAACGCUAGAGAAAUG